rnacentral:rRNA from 1 species
UACGUAGGGUGCGAGCGUUAAUCGGAAUUACUGGGCGUAAAGCGUGCGCAGGCGGUUUUGUAAGUCAGAUGUGAAAUCCCCCGGGCUCAACCUGGGAACUGCAUUUGUGACUGCAUCGCUGGAGUGCGGCAGAGGGGGAUGGAAUUCCUGGUGUAGCGGUGAAAUGCGUAGAUAUCAGGAGGAACACCGGUGGCGAAGGCGGCCCUCUGGACGGUGACUGACGCUGAGACGCGAAAGCGUGGGGAGCAAACAGG